rnacentral:rRNA from 1 species
UGGGGAAUUUUGGACAAUGGGCGAAAGCCUGAUCCAGCAAUGCCGCGUGUGUGAAGAAGGCCUUCGGGUUGUAAAGCACUUUUGUCCGGAAAGAAAUCCUUGGCUCUAAUACAGUCGGGGGAUGACGGUACCGGAAGAAUAAGCACCGGCUAACUACGUGCCAGCAGCCGCGGUAAUACGUAGGGUGCAAGCGUUAAUCGGAAUUACUGGGCGUAAAGCGUGCGCAGGCGGUUUGCUAAGACCGAUGUGAAAUCCCCGGGCUCAACCUGGGAACUGCAUUGGUGACUGGCAGGCUAGAGUAUGGCAGAGGGGGGUAGAAUUCCACGUGUAGCAGUGAAAUGCGUAGAGAUGUGGAGGAAUACCGAUGGCGAAGGCAGCCCCCUGGGCCAAUACUGACGCUCAUGCACGAAAGCGUGGGGAGCAAACAGGAUUAGAUACCCUGGUAGUCCACGCCCUAAACGAUGUCAACUAGUUGUUGGGGAUUCAUUUCCUUAGUAACGUAGCUAACGCGUGAAGUUGACCGCCUGGGGGAGUACGGUCAUAAGAUUAAAACUCAAAUGAAUUGAC